rnacentral:misc_RNA from 1 species
AAAGUCGUAACAAGGUUUCCGUAGGUGAACCUGCGGAAGGAUCAUUCAUAAUCAAGUGUUUUUAUGGCACUUUCAAAAAUCCAUAUCCACCUUGUGUGCAAUGUCAUCUCACUGGAGGUCAACGGCUGUAAAAAUCCGUUUGGUCACCUUUGGGAUUUAUAUCUACUCAGAACUUUAGUGAUUUUGUCUGAAACAUAUUAUGAAUACUUAAUUCAAAAUACAACUUUCAACAACGGAUCUCUUGGCUCUC